rnacentral:rRNA from 1 species
AAUCAACACUGGCGGCGUGCCUCAGACAUGCAAGUCGAACGAUUAAAGCUCUCUUCGGAGAGUGUAUAGAGUGGCGCACGGGUGAGUAACACGUAAGUAAUCUACCCUCGAGUGGGGAAUAACAACCGGAAACGGUUGCUAAUACCGCAUAAUGCAGCGGCACCGCAAGGUGACAGUUGUUAAAGAUUUAUCGCUUGAGGAGGAGCUUGCGGCAGAUUAGCUAGUUGGUAGGGUAACGGCUUACCAAGGCUACGAUCUGUAACCGGUCUAAGAGGACGGUCGGUCACACUGACACUGAAUAACGGGUCAGACUCCUACGGGAGGCAGCAGUCGGGAAUUUUGGGCAAUGGGCGAAGGCCUGACCCAGCAACGCCGCGUGAAGGAUGAAGUAUUUCGGUAUGUAAACUUCGAAAGAAUAGGAAGAAUUAAUGACGGUACUAUUUAUAAGGUCCGGCUAACUACGUGCCAGCAGCCGCGGUAAUGUA